CGCAUUGCAACUGACGUGUAUGGAGUAGGUGACUAGCGUCAUCUGGCAACUGAAAGCAGGACUGAGAAUUAACUUAAUUUGGCCCUGUCUUGCACCCUGUAGUAGCCGACCCGGAACUAAGGUGGUUCACGUGCCCCGGAAGGAAGAUUUCAGGGAGCGGCAAAAUUUGAACAGUUUAUAAAAAAUAAUAAGUUUUUUAAUUUUUUAUAAUAA
rnacentral:lncRNA from 1 species